GACGUAGGGUGCGAGCGUUGUCCGGAUUUAUUGGGCGUAAAGAGCUCGUAGGCGGCUCGUCGCGUCGACCGUGAAAACCCACAGCUUAACUGUGGGCUUGCGGUUGAUACGGGCGGGCUAGAGUUCGGUAGGGGAGACUGGAAUUCCUGGUGUAGCGGUGAAAUGCGCAGAUAUCAGGAGGAACAUCAGUGGCGAAAGCGGCUUCCUGGACCAGAACUGACGAUCAGGCUCGAAAGCGUGGGAGCAAACAGG
rnacentral:rRNA from 1 species